AUGAACGCUGGCGGCGUGCCUCAUACCUGCCAGUAGAACGCUGAAGGAGGAGCUUGCUCUUCUGGAUGAGUUGCGAACGGGUGAGUAACGCGUAGGUAACCUGCCUGGUAGCGGGGGAUAACUAUUGGAAACGAUAGCUAAUACCGCAUGACAACAGUUAUUGCAUGAUAACUGUUUAAAAGGGGCAACUGCUCCACUACCAGAUGGACCUGCGUUGUAUUAGCUAGUUGGUGAGGUAACGGCUCACCAAGGCGACGAUACAUAGCCGACCUGGGAGGGUGAACCGCCACACUGGGACUGAGACACGGCCCAGACUCCUACGGGAGGCAGCAGUAGGGAAUCUUCGGCAAUGGACGGAAGUCUGACCGAGCAACGCCGCGUGAGUGAAGAAGGUUUUCGGAUCGUAAAGCUCUGUUGUAAGAGAAGAACGAGUGUGAGAGUGGAAAGUUCACACUGUGACGGUAUCUUACCAGAAAGGGACGGCUAACUACGUG
rnacentral:rRNA from 1 species